UAGUCUGGGAAACUGCCUGAUGGAGGGGGGUAACUACUGGAAACGGUAGCUAAUACCGCAUAACGUCGCAAGACCAAAGUGGGGGACCUUCGGGCCUCAUGCCAUCAGAUGUGCCCAGAUGGGAUUAGCUAGUAGGUGGGGUAACGGCUCACCUAGGCGACGAUCUCUAGCUGGUCUGAGAGGAUGAUCAGCCACACUGGGACUGAGACACGGCCCAG
rnacentral:rRNA from 1 species